rnacentral:rRNA from 1 species
GAUGAACGCUGGCGGCGUGCUUAACACAUGCAAGUCGAACGAAGCACUUUAUUUGAUUUCCUUCGGGACUGAUUAUUUUGUGACUGAGUGGCGGACGGGUGAGUAACGCGUGGGUAACCUGCCUUGUACAGGGGGAUAACAUUUGGAAACGGCUGCUAAUACCGCAUAAGCGCACGGCAUCGCAUGAUGCAGUGUGAAAAACUCCGGUGGUAUAAGAUGGACCCGCGUUGGAUUAGAUAGUUGGUGAGGUAACGGCCCACCAAGGCGACGAUCCAUAGCCGACAUGUGAGGGUGACCGGCCACAUUGGGACUGAGACACGGCCCAGACUCCUACGGGAGGCAGCAGUGGGGAAUAUUGCACAAUGGGCGAAAGCCUGAUGCAGCGACGCCGCGUGAGCGAAGAAGUAUUUCGGUAUGUAAAGCUCUAUCAGCAGGGAAGAUAAUGACGGUACCUGACGAAGAAGCACCGGCUAAAUACGUG